rnacentral:rRNA from 1 species
AGCAUGCAAGUCAAACGGGAUGUAGCAAUACAUCUAGUGGCGAACGGGUGAGUAACGCGUGGAUGAUCUACCUACGAGAUGGGGAUAACUAUUAGAAAUAGUAGCUAAUACCGAAUAAAGUCAAUUAAUUUGUUAAUUGAUGAAAGGAAGCCUUUAAAGCUUCGCUUGUAGAUGAGUCUGCGUCUUAUUAGCUAGUUGGUAGGGUAAAUGCCUACCAAGGCGAUGAUAAGUAACCGGCCUGAGAGGGUGAACGGUCACACUGGAACUGAGAUACGGUCCAGACUCCUACGGGAGGCAGCAGCUAAGAAUCUUCCGCAAUGGGCGAAAGCCUGACGGAGCGACACUGCGUGAAUGAAGAAGGUCGAAAGAUUGUAAAAUUCUUUUAUAAAUGAGGAAUAAGCUUUGUAGGAAAUGACAAAGUGAUGACGUUAAUUUAUGAAUAAGCCCCGGCUAAUUACGUGCCAGCAGCCGCGGUAAUACG